UACGUAGGGACCAAGCGUUGUCCGGAAUCAUUGGGCGUAAAGAGCGUGUAGGCGGCGUGUUAAGUCUUGCGUGAAAUCUCGGGGGCUCAACCCCGAGCGGUCGUGAGAAACUGGCAGGCUAGAGUGCGGGAGAGGAGAGUGGAAUUCCUGGUGUAGCGGUGAAAUGCGCAGAGUAUCGGGAAGAACACCCGUGGCGAAGGCGGCUCUCUGGGACGGUACUGACGCGUGAGACGGCGAAAAGCGUGGGGAGCGAACAGG
rnacentral:rRNA from 1 species